rnacentral:rRNA from 1 species
CAGCCGUAAACUAUGCGCGUUAGGUGUAUCGGUGACCACGAGUUACCGAGGUGCCGAAGGGAAACCGUGAAACGUGCCGCCUGGGAAGUACGGUCGCAAGGCUGAAACUUAAAGGAAUUGGCGGGGGAGGGCACCACAACGGGUGGAGCCUGCGGUUUAAUUGGACUCAACGCCGGACAACUCACCGGGACGACAGCAAUAUGUAGGCCAGGCUGAAGACCUUGCCUGAAUCGCUGAGAGGUGGUGCAUGGCGUCAGUGACU